rnacentral:rRNA from 1 species
GACGAACGCUGGCGGCGUGCCUAAUACGUGCAAGUAGAACGCUGAAGAGAGGAGCUUGCUCUUCUUGGAUGAGUUGCGAACGGGUGAGUAACGCGUAGGUAACCUGCCUGGUAGCGGGGGAUAACUAUUGGAAACGAUAGCUAAUACCGCAUAAAAUUGAUUAUUGCAUGAUAAUUAAUUGAAAGAUGCAAUUGCAUCACUACCAGAUGGACCUGCGUUGUAUUAGCUAGUUGGUGAGGUAACGGCUCACCAAGGCGACGAUACAUAGCCGACCUGAGAGGGUGAUCGGCCACACUGGGACUGAGACACGGCCCAGACUCCUACGGGAGGCAGCAGUAGGGAAUCUUCGGCAAUGGGGGGAACCCUGACCGAGCAACGCCGCGUGAGUGAAGAAGGUUUUCGGAUCGUAAAGCUCUGUUGUAAGAGAAGAACGGGUGUGAGAGUGGAAAGUUCACACUGUGACGGUAUCUUACCAGAAAGGGACGGCUAACUACGUGCCAGCAGCCGCGGUAAUACGUAGGUCCCGAGCGUUGUCCGGAUUUUAUUGGGCGUAAAGCGAGCGCAGGCGGUUAGACAAGUCUGAAGUUAAAGGCUGUGGCUUAACCAUAGUAUGCUUUGGAAACUGUUUAACUUGAGUGCAGAAGGGGAGAGUGGAAUUCCAUGUGUAGCGGUGAAAUGCGUACAUAUAUGGAGGAACACCGGUGGCGAGGGCAGGUCUCUGGGCAGUAACUGACGCUGAGGAGCGAAAGCAUGGGUAGCGAACAGGAUUAGAUACCUUGGUAGUCCAUGCCGUAAACGGUGGGCGCUAGGUGUGGGGAUCUUCCACGAUUUCCGUGCCGUAGCUAACGCAUUAAGCGCCCCGCCUGGGGAGUACGGCCGCAAGGCUAAAACUCAAAGGAAUUGACGGGGGCCCGCACAAGCGGCGGAGCAUGUGGAUUAAUUCGAUGCAACGCGAAGAACCUUACCUGGGCUUGACAUGGGCAGGACCGGUGUGGAGACACGUCUUCCCUUUUGGGCUUGUUCACAGGUGGUGCAUGGUUGUCGUCAGCUCGUGUCGUGAGAUGUUGGGUUAAGUCCCGCAACGAGCGCAACCCUUGUCUUGUGUUGCCAGCACGUAAUGGUGGGGACUCGCGAGAGACUGCCGGGGUUAACUCGGAGGAAGGUGGGGAUGACGUCAAAUCAUCAUGCCCCUUAUGUCCAGGGCUUCACACAUGCUACAAUGGUCGGUACAGUGGGUUGCGAUGCCGCGAGGCUCAGCUAAUCCCUUAAAGCCGGUCUCAGUUCGGAUUGGAGUCUGCAACUCGACUCCAUGAAGUCGGAGUCGCUAGUAAUCGCAGAUCAGCAACGCUGCGGUGAAUACGUUCCCGGGCCU